GCAGUGGUGGUUCAGUGUUAGAAUUCUAACUUUCUAUGUGAGAGACCCCGGGUGGAUUCCCAGUCAAUGCA
rnacentral:tRNA from 1 species